rnacentral:rRNA from 1 species
AGAGUUUGAUCCUGGCUCAGAUUGAACGCUGGCGGCAUGCCUUACACAUGCAAGUCGAACGGUAACGGGCCUUCGGGUGCCGACGAGUGGCGAACGGGUGAGUAAUGUAUCGGAACGUACCUUUCAGUGGGGGAUAACGUAGCGAAAGUUACGCUAAUACCGCAUAUUCUGUGAGCAGGAAAGCAGGGGAUCGCAAGACCUUGCGCUGAUUGAGCGGCCGAUAUCAGAUUAGCUAGUUGGUGAGGUAAAGGCUCACCAAGGCGACGAUCUGUAGCGGGUCUGAGAGGAUGAUCCGCCACACUGGAACUGAGACACGGUCCAGACUCCUACGGGAGGCAGCAGUGGGGAAUUUUGGACAAUGGGGGCAACCCUGAUCCAGCCAUGCCGCGUGAGUGAAGAAGGCCUUCGGGUUGUAAAGCUCUUUCGGCCGGGAAGAAAUCGCAUGGGUUAAUACCCUGUGCGGAUGACGGUACCGGCAUAAGAAGCACCGGCUAACUACGUGCCAGCAGCCGCGGUAAUACGUAGGGUGCGAGCGUUAAUCGGAAUUACUGGGCGUAAAGCGUGCGCAGGCGGUUUUUUAAGACAGGCGUGAAAUCCCCGGGCUCAACCUGGGAACUGCGCUUGUGACUGGAAGGCUAGAGUACGGCAGAGGGGGGUGGAAUUCCACGUGUAGCAGUGAAAUGCGUAGAGAUGUGGAGGAACACCAAUGGCGAAGGCAGCCCCCUGGGUCGAUACUGACGCUCAUGCACGAAAGCGUGGGUAGCAAACAGGAUUAGAUACCCUGGUAGUCC